UAUAAUGAUGAAUACAAAAAGUGAAAAACGUAUCUAAAACCAAAGCUGGCAUCUUUUAUCGAUGUAUGCAAAUACCUUAUCUUCAAUAGAACGAGAUAAUUCUGCCACGCUUCCAUCAGAUCGAGAAGAAGAUCCGUGGUUAGUAUUGACAAUGGCGUUGGAUCGCUUCAUAGCAUUCCCUGCAGUUUUCAUUAAAGUUUCCCUGAGCUUAGCUGUGUUUUCUUGAAGGAGUAGCUGAGGUGAUUUUUUACGUUUUUUUGCCAUUGCUUCUCUCUUUUUACGCCUUAAGGAAGCCUGUUUGCUCUCGUAUUGUUCUCUAAUCUUGUAUCCUUUUCUUUGUAGUGGCAGUUUAACUUUAUUUCGUGGAUCUAUCUUCUGAGAGCCCAUCUUGUCCUUAACUGUCUUACGCUUAUUCGAAGAGUAACUUCGCCUGGUUGAAAUAAAAAAUUGAAAUAAAAAUAAAAUGAAACCAAAUGACCAUAAUCAUAUAUCUUUAUAGAAGAAUGCCUACGUAGUUUUAAAAACUUUCAAAGGUGAAGUCUGUCCAUGCAUUGUAUAUUUAAACAAAAUGUUGACGUUCGAAUAAUAUUAGGUAUAAAAACAACUAUCACAUAAGUAUUUAAUAUUUUUUUUGUGCAAACUAAUACAAUUCAACAUUUUUAUGAGAAA